GAAUACACAAAUCAUUACUAAAAAAAAAUAGAAACUUGGUCUGAUAAAAGAAAACAGAAGCGUGUUUGGUUUGAGGAUUGUGAGUGGUGUUUGUGGCUUUGUUAAGUGCAGCGGAAGUAAAACAGCAAACAGAACAGAACGAUCAGCACACAGAAAUUUAUACUGGUUCACCCUAAACAAUUGGGCUACGUCCAGUACUUGGCCACCACCAAUAUUUUCACUAGCAAGUAUCAAGGACUUCUCCAAUACAAGUAUUAUCCAUGACUUCUCCAAGUAUUAUCACGGACUUCUCCGAGUAUUCUGCAGGACUCCUCCUAUAAGUAUUGUACAGGACUUCUCCUAAAUCUUUACAAAGAUUUAUGAUACUCUACAAUGGUUCUCUUCUUUCAAGAGUGAGGAUAGAGACUUUAUGGCACUGGAACUCUAAGUGUUUGGGUUCAGAUUUGACUAUUGAAUUCACUUCAGAGUUACUACAAUAGUGUGAAAAGAAUAAAAGAUGUGACUCUUUUAAGGUACGAGGUUUUCUCUUCCACUGGGCAGAAUUUAUGACUUGUGUUUGACACUUGGGAAUAUCUGCUCAAGCUUUGAAUGUUAUUGAGAAGUUUGAAUAUGAAUGCUUGAAUGCUUGGAUUCUCAGAGUUAAUUAUUCUAGUCUUCAGAUCUUCAAGGAUCCCUUAAAUACUUUCUUUCUAGUGUUGUAGCCGUUGUGAGACACAAUCCAACCGUUGAGAUAGUCGUUGAGUUUUGAUAUCAGACUGUUGAUUCAAUUGGCUUGGUUGGUAGCUUCAUUAAAUGUUGCUUCUGAAGCAAGUCUAUCCUUUAGCUUGAAAGGUGAUGUUUGUCAGCUAGUAGGUGGUGAUCGACUUUGGGUUACUUUUCAGAUAAGAGACAAUUUGGCAAUUUGAUGUUGACGGCUUGUACUUUUCCUCGUUGGUCAGCGUGCCUUUUGCUAAAGCAAGUUUUGUCUUCAUCUGA